CAGCAGACACAUUCCAGCCAAUCAGCAGCAGACCCUCCCUCCCAGACCCUCCCACCUCCUGGACAGCAUUCAUUUUACAUUCAUUGUGAAGCUGCAUUCUUAGUGAGGAGGUAGGAGGGUCUGGGAGGGAGGGUCUGCUGAUGAUUGGCUGGAAUGUGUCUGCUG
rnacentral:miRNA from 1 species